AUGACAGAGCGGAUCCCGUACCAGAGGCACGUUGGCUCUGGGGAAAGGCAGCCGAUACGCGCGACGGGAGCCUACCUUGCACAGACGGGCUCACGGCCUCCGAAGCCCGGAGAAGGGCUGCUCCGUCGGGCACAGAGAGCGGGAUACCCGGAGCUGCUCCGUCGGGCACAGAGAGCGGGAUACCCGCAGCUGCUCCGGCGGGCACGGAGAGCGGGAUACCCGGAGCUGCUCCGUCGGGCACGGAGAGCGGGAUACCCGGAGCUGCUCCGUCGGGCACAGGGAGCGGGAUACCCGGAGCUGCUCCGUCGGGCACAGGGAGCGGGAUACCCGCAGCCGCUCCGGCGGGCACAGGGCGCGGGGUCCCGCUCGCUCGGGCUCUCACACGUGCCAGCGCGCGUCUCCUCCACUCGCAGAGUUUGUCAUGAAUGUCCCCAGCUGGGUCCCAGUGAGCGCAAAGACCUCGGAGCCGUCAGCCCACGGCCCCGCGCUCCCCUCGCAACUUCUCCUUCCCCUCGCUGUCCGCUGGGAAGUUCGGCAGAGCCGCGGGCGCCGGAGCGGGCUCCACUCUCUGCGAAAACUCGCCUGCCCCACCUAGAGGAGCCCCGCAGGAUGAGGAGGAGUCCCGCAUCCGUGCCCGCUACCGACGAGCUCGGAGCUGGCUGGUGAACAGGAGAAGGUUUUAUCUGGUUUGGCUGGGAGAAGGGGAGCCAGAGUCUGGGAUGCGGAGCAGGGGAAUGCUUCUGGGGAGCUCCUGAGAGCAGAAGAAAUGAGAGAGAAGUUUGAUGAGUGAACUGGUUCAGUUUAGCGAAUGUUGUUAAGGCAAAAUGAAACUAUUCUGAGAAAUACCUGAUGUCCAGACAAUUUGGGGUGGCUCAUCUGAAGCCCACCUCACUUUCCUACUUUUCAAUUGCAGUUUUGGGGACUCUCUGGACUUCCCACAGGAUUCUUACCAGGAAGGGACAGCAUGGGCGACAUCAAGAAUUACUGCUUCCCCAGGAGCACACACAGCUCUCUGCUGCUUCUAGAAAAUUCUGAAGAAUAACCUAGAUGGUUUUCAAAUUGAGAAUGUCAUAGCUACCUUUCUGAACUACCGAUUCUUUUCUUCCCAAGCAAAAUAGAAAUAUUCUUAUACAGUUCUGCUUUCUAAGGGUUGAAAAUUCUGGUUGUCAGCUAGCUCUGCACAAGGGAGUUGCCAGUAUUUUGCAAAGAGAGUGUUCCUUAAAACUGGAAAAUGGGAAAUAACACUGAAGUGAAAAUAAAUGAAAUGCAAAACACCCAGCACAUGUGCAAAUGGCUUUAGUGCAGUUAAAGCAGUUAACUCAGAGGUCAUAAAGGAGAAACAUAUCAACACUACACCUCCUUUUUUGAGCAUCCAAUACCCAGUAUGAAAAACUGACAGUGCUUGAUCAGUGGAAAAUAUUUCUCAAAGAAGACCUUUCAGCCUUGUUGGAUACAAGAUUCUUAAGUGUGUAUUCUGGUGUGUGUUGUUGUUGUAACUCCA
rnacentral:lncRNA from 1 species